CAUUUGUAAAAAAGCUCUUAUAUAUAACAAGCAGUUCGAUCAAUCGCGAGGAUUGAAAUGGAUAUUAAGCGGCACCAACAUAUUGUAGAUAAGCUCGGAAUGUGCAGAGCUCAGCAGAUUUGAAAACUCAGAGAGUCGGAGAUUCAAAGAACACCUACCAAACACGACAAUAACCGUAUGAUGCAAAUCAAACCGAUCUCUUAAGAUGAACCAACACAAACCAGGAAAUACAACAAUAUUAGCAAGAAGCAAUCUCUGACCUUGAAGACCAGAGCGAAAGCAACAGCCAAACCAUUAAAACCAACUGAGACUAAGAUCUUAGGUCUCACUUCUUAAUUAUUUUUGCAAAAAGUUCAAUUAAAAUUUCAAGAGGAUCUAUCUAUCUAUCAAAAGUGAGUAAUUUCUUACGGUGUGAAGAACUAACAUAACAUUAAGCCCAUGUAAAAAGUAAAACAAUUUUGACCAUAAUAUUAAGUCCGACAUCUUUAGUUAAUGCACUAGAAUUAGA
rnacentral:lncRNA from 1 species